rnacentral:misc_RNA from 1 species
AGAGAGAGAGAGAGAGAGAUUCAAUGACAGAAAAAUGGGGAGAUAGUUAAGAUGCAAAUUUAAAAAGAUCAUCUACUCAGAGCCACUUGUGAGCUAAUUGGACCUCCACUGCGUAAAGAGUCAAUUGAACUUACUUUUAAAAAUCAGUAAGAUGAGCUUAAGCUCACUUUAAAAUUCGCCAAAUAAAGGCAACAGUUUGAGCAAGGUUAAGUUGGACUUAAUUAGCUUUGUCAUCCAGUUGGCAUAUGAAGUCAUUAAUAAAUUGAUAUUGACACACAUCUAUUUAACAUAUAUGAAAAAAUCCUUAGUUUAAAAUAGUUUAUUACAUGAAAUGACAUUGAAAUUAUAAUUUUUAAAAAAAUUCUGUAUACUUGUACGGCAUCGGUGGAGAGGUCAGAUAAUUUACAAUAGUACAAAGAGCACAAAUAUGGAUAAGUACAUUGAUAUUUAAAAACAAUGUUUUUCUGAAUAAAUUUGAAAGCACUUUUAUUCACUGCACGUUGCUCAAAAGGCCCUUAUUCAACAAUUUUGUGCUUGGCUAACUUUGCUCAUUUAAUAACUGAGAAAAACAUGCCUUAGUUUAUGCUCAUUUCACAAAUGAGUCAAACUUGAGCAUGGUAAAACUCAGCUAAACUUAGGCACUCAAUAUGUUUUUCCAUAUCCAAAAGUAACUCCAGCAUAUAAACCAUGAUAAUUCAAAUAUUCCAACAACUCAUAACAACUGCCAAAAGCCAAUGAUACUAGUUAAAUAACUGAACUUGACUUGGAGAGAGGCCAGCCAAGAUUUGGAACAUUUUUUCAUCACCAUCUCCCCCAACAAUAUUGCCAAUGUACUAAUGCACAUGAUGAGGAACCGGUUGCACCAAUUCCACACCAAGGGCCAAUAACUAGAGCAAUG